GACGAACGCUGGCGGCGUGCUUAACACAUGCAAGUCGAACGGAAAGGCCCUGCUCUUGUGGGGUUCUCGAGUGGCGAACGGGUGAGUAUCACGUGAGUAACCUGCCCUUGUCUUUGGGAUAACUUCAGGAAACUGGGGCGAAUAUCGGACAGGAGAUCCUGCUGCAUGGUGGGGGUUGGAAAGUUGCGGCGGUUGGGGAUGGACUCGCGGCUAAUCAGCUUGUUGGUGGGGUAGUGGCUUACCAAGGCUUUGACGGGUAGCCGGCCUGAGAGGGUGACCGGCCACAUUGGGCCUGGGGUACGGCCCAGAGGGCUACGGGGGGCAGCGGGGGGAAAUAUUGCACAAUGCGCCGAAGCCUGAUACAACGACGUCGCGUGCGGAAUGACGGCUUGCGGGGUAGAAACCGCUUUAGCCUGUGACGCAGCUUGAGUGACGGUAAUGAGUAAAGAAGCACCGGCUAACUACGUG
rnacentral:rRNA from 1 species